rnacentral:rRNA from 1 species
AGAUCUUCGGAUCUAGUGGCGCACGGGUGCGUAACGCGUGGGAAUCUGCCCUUGGGUUCGGAAUAACUUCUGGAAACGGAAGCUAAUACCGGAUGAUGACGUAAGUCCAAAGAUUUAUCGCCCAAGGAUGAGCCCGCGUAGGAUUAGCUAGUUGGUGGGGUAAAGGCCCACCAAGGCGACGAUCCUUAGCUGGUCUGAGAGGAUGAUCAGCCACACUGGGACUGAGACACGGCCCAGACUCCUACGGGAGGCAGCAGUAGGGAAUAUUGGACAAUGGGGGAAACCCUGAUCCAGCAAUGCCGCGUGAGUGAUGAAGGCCUUAGGGUUGUAAAGCUCUUUUACCCGGGAUGAUAAUGACAGUACCGGGAGAAUAAGCUCCGGCUAACUCCGUGCCAGCAGCCGCGGUAAUACGGAGGGAGCUAGCGUUGUUCGGAAUUACUGG